rfam:Aedes aegypti strain Liverpool supercont1.284 genomic scaffold, whole genome shotgun sequence.
AAAAUGGCCCUUUUCAGGGCCAAUAUUACGAUUAAAGAGUUG